GACCAAAGAGCCCCUGGAGAUCUUAACUGCUCUGCGCUGUCUUGUAUCUCUUACUGCUGAAGAACAGUCGUUACGAGUUGAGUGAGCCCUGUGCAGGAGGGAGGGAGGUCACAGAGGCUCGUAGCAUCUCUCCAAGGACGCGGUUCCCUGCAGAGAGAGAUCCCCCGCGCCCCCCUUGCAAUCGCAGCGGCGCUACCUGGGACCGGUCUCUGCCGCUCAGACAAAGAUGUCCGUCUGCUCUGUCAUGCGUGGGUGAAACCGAGCCUUAGCGAGCCCCGGUCUUGUGGGAGCGUGCCCCUCGCCGCCAGAAACGAGCGGCUGCCCUUGUGCUGCGCUGAGCUGCAAUGGCAGACUCGCCCUCCAUCUUCUCCUGCAGAAGCAGCGCUCUCCUGGGACAGAUUGUCACUUGGCUGCCGAGGGCACGUUUGCUUGUUUUCACGCAGUGCCAGCACGGUAGAUGUGACGGCUUGCUCAGUUUACCUGUUUGGUUGUGUACAAGCUCCCCUGCCCCAGGUGUCCCCCGGCUCUCAAUGCUCUUCAAAACCCAGAGGCAACAGAAAAUUCUUCUCACUUGGGUGGCUUUCUGACAUGGUCUGGCCUUUCCUUUUUUUGCUUAAGGCUUUCCUACUAGACACAUCCUCUUUUUUUCCCCCUUCUCCUCCCACUCAAACUUUUUUUCAGCUUUCAGUAGACAGUGUCUGCAGACUUUGAUUUUUAAACUGAGAGACCGAGAUGGAAAGCUCUGAAAAGAACAGACCUCUCCCUCCCCAUUCACCUUUUGCUGUGGCAGCUAUUUUUCGUUGUUUUUACCCUUGUGCGACAGCGCAGCUCUCUUACCUGCCGGUUGCAGUGUGAAAGCUACAAGAUUCCCUGCCUCUGCAGUGGAUUGCUUUUUUUAAUGGCUGCUUUGGUUAAAAAAGAUAAAUAAUAAUGGGAGAGAAGGGGAGAGAAAAAUCGUUCUGCCUCUAGCCCCUUUUCCCCUUGUCGUGAGCAGAUUACCUGCUUUGUCGCUUGUUAAUGAGGAAUUUGUAUUUAUUGGUGAAGGAAAAAACAUGCUGGGGAAGUAGGGAGAAGAUGUUGCUUUAUUGACCUCUGCUGUUUACUUCAACCCCCUCUUUGGGAAAGCUUCUUCCUGCUCUUUCUGGUUAACUCUUUCUAGCCUGGGAUAUGCAGGGAUGCCUCCUUUAUUUUUGUAUUCUAGCAAUGGGCUCUCCGUUAGGAGACUCUAGGAUUCUCUUAGUGUUGCAAUCACCAUUGCUUCUCGCUUUUUCAAGUACUAAAGAUGAUCAUCUCGUAAACUUUGCCCCUGCAGUUGUAGAGGUAACACACAAGCCUUACUGCCCUCAUUAGAAGGAGCAGAAAACUUGUUUCUCUGGUCCCUGGAAGAGAAAGGGUUAAGCAAUUAAACAGUUCUUUGUUCUA